GAUGAACGCUGGCGGCGUGCCUAAUACAUGCAAGUCGAGCGAACGGACGAGAAGCUUGCUUCUCUGAUGUUAGCGGCGGACGGGUGAGUAACACGUGGAUAACCUACCUAUAAGACUGGGAUAACUUCGGGAAACCGGAGCUAAUACCGGAUAAUAUUUUGAACCGCAUGGUUCAAAAGUGAAAGACGGUCUUGCUGUCACUUAUAGAUGGAUCCGCGCUGCAUUAGCUAGUUGGUAAGGUAACGGCUUACCAAGGCAACGAUGCAUAGCCGACCUGAGAGGGUGAUCGGCCACACUGGAACUGAGACACGGUCCAGACUCCUACGGGAGGCAGCAGUAGGGAAUCUUCCGCAAUGGGCGAAAGCCUGACGGAGCAACGCCGCGUGAGUGAUGAAGGUCUUCGGAUUGUAAAACUCUGUUAUUAGGGAAGAACAUAUGUGUAAGUAACUGUGCACAUCUUGACGGUACCUAAUCAGAAAGCCACGGCUAACUACGUGCCAGCAGCCGCGGUAAUACGUAGGUGGCAAGCGUUAUCCGGAAUUAUUGGGCGUAAAGCGCGCGUAGGCGGUUUUUUAAGUCUGAUGUGAAAGCCCACGGCUCAACCGUGGAGGGUCAUUGGAAACUGGAAAACUUGAGUGCAGAAGAGGAAAGUGGAAUUCCAUGUGUAGCGGUGAAAUGCGCAGAGAUAUGGAGGAACACCAGUGGCGAAGGCGGCUUUCUGGUCUGUAACUGACGCUGAUGUGCGAAAGCGUGGGGAUCAAACAGGAUUAGAUACCCUGGUAGUCCACGCCGUAAACGAUGAGUGCUAAGUGUUAGGGGGUUUCCGCCCCUUAGUGCUGCAGCUAACGCAUUAAGCACUCCGCCUGGGGAGUACGACCGCAAGGUUGAAACUCAAAGGAAUUGACGGGGACCCGCACAAGCGGUGGAGCAUGUGGUUUAAUUCGAAGCAACGCGAAGAACCUUACCAAAUCUUGACAUCCUUUGACAACUCUAGAGAUAGAGCUUUCCCCUUCGGGGGACAAAGUGACAGGUGGUGCAUGGUUGUCGUCAGCUCGUGUCGUGAGAUGUUGGGUUAAGUCCCGCAACGAGCGCAACCCUUAAGCUUAGUUGCCAUCAUUAAGUUGGGCACUCUAAGUUGACUGCCGGUGACAAACCGGAGGAAGGUGGGGAUGACGUCAAAUCAUCAUGCCCCUUAUGAUUUGGGCUACACACGUGCUACAAUGGACAAUACAAAGGGCAGCGAAACCGUGAGGUCAAGCAAAUCCCAUAAAGUUGUUCUCAGUUCGGAUUGUAGUCUGCAACUCGACUACAUGAAGCUGGAAUCGCUAGUAAUCGUAGAUCAGCAUGCUACGGUGAAUACGUUCCCGGGUCU
rnacentral:rRNA from 1 species